AUGAACGCUGGCGGCGUGCCUAAUACAUGCAAGUCGAGCGAACGGACGAGAAGCUUGCUUCUCUGAUGUUAGCGGCGGACGGGUGAGUAACACGUGGAUAACCUACCUAUAAGACUGGGAUAACUUCGGGAAACCGGAGCUAAUACCGGAUAAUAUUUUGAACCGCAUGGUUCAAAAGUGAAAGACGGUCUUGCUGUCACUUAUAGAUGGAUCCGCGCUGCAUUAGCUAGUUGGUAAGGUAACGGCUUACCAAGGCAACGAUGCAUAGCCGACCUGAGAGGGUGAUCGGCCACACGGGAACGGAGACACGGUCCAGACUCCUACGGGAGGCAGCUGUAGGGAAUCUUCCGCAAUGGGCGAAAGCCUGACGGAGCAACGCCGCGUGAGUGAUGAAGGUCUUCGGAUCGUAAAACUCUGUUAUUAGGGAAGAACAUAUGUGUAAGUAACUGUGCACAUCUUGACGGUACCUAAUCAGAAAGCCACGGCUAACUACGUG
rnacentral:rRNA from 1 species